AAACUUUCAACAACGGAUCUCUUGGUUCUCGCAUCGAUGAAGAACGCAGCGAAAUGCGAUAAGUAGUGUGAAUUGCAGAAUUCAGUGAAUCAUCGAAUCUUUGAACGCACAUUGCGCCCUCUGGUAUUCCGGGGGGCAUGCCUGUUCGAGCGUCA
rnacentral:rRNA from 9 species